CCAACUGAAUUAUCAUGGCCCAAAUCGCCUAUCUAUAGCGAGCCCGUUCUAGACCCAACUAAUUUGUUAUUACCCCCAAAAUUAACCCUACCUUUCUUCUUCAAACCCCCCCCCCCUUCUGAAAUAUAACACCCGAAAUUUGCAGCUCCGCUGCUGCAAACUCAGAUUCUUUGUCCCUAAUCAAAAUCAAGGCCCCAAAUCUUGACCCUUCCCCAAAUGAUGCCGAUUUGAUCGAGUUUUGAUUCUAAUUUACCCUCAAGUUUCGCCUUGAUUUUUUCUCAACUAACAUUCAGGGAAAGAAAGGUUCCGAUGGCUCUUUCGACUUCUCUUUCUCCGGUAUAAUCACCGGCGAUGGAGAAACAAUCGCACCAUCAACUUGUUUGGGACCAACGGCCGGGCAGGCUUCUUGUACAUGUCCAAACCUGCCAUAAGCAAAGCAAACUGUUGGUCAAUAAACACUACCAUCCUAGAAAGCUUCCCCCUUGAACCACGAUCAGUCUGGAAAUCAAGUUUAGCUACUUUGCGGAUCAACCCGCCUAUUUCCUCCAAGAUUUUCCGUUUAUAGAAAAACCCCGACAAACCAGGAAGUCGAAUCCAAACCAUAACAUUCCUCGGGAAUGGCUGAAGUGGAUUGAAUUCAGGAGUCCACGGCUGCACCAUGAGAUAUUUCCCAAGAACGAUCUAUGGCCCCUGAGUAAGAACCCUCUCAUAAUCUUUCCGACAUUGAAAUCUAACCAGAAAGUAACCAUUUUCGACGUCCAUGAGAUGGAACUACUACGAAGGCUUCCAAAGGCUAGAGAUCCUGUUAUAGAGAGGUACAUUCGACACUUUCCUACCCAACAAUUUCACCACCAACGUGGUUGCCAUAUCUAGCACCAAAAGUUUUUGGAUUCUCUCUGAAAAAGCUAAUCGUAGGUAACCCAUUAACUGUAGAUUUCAUAAUAUCACCAUCUAAAUAUUCCAGAUCUUCAUCACAUCCAAAAUCAGAUGAUCUACUACCAACCACUUUGUCCUUCCAAGACAGCACUUAUGUUGGAGAGGGAUUAACAACCAUACCACAACUCGAGUCAUUAACCACUCCGCUAAUCAUAUACACAUCCAUCCUUUUGAAUUUGACCUUUUCGGUGGUACGAUCCUCAUUCGAAGAUACGCCACCAUCAUCGUCAACCAUCGUCGUCGUCAUCCAAUAUGUUUUUCUUAUUGAAAUAAAUCUUUCUAGAAAUUAAUUUGUUCCACUAAACCUGGAAUUGAAAAAGAAAAGUGUAAACAAUUGUCUAUAUAUAUUAAUUAAUUAAAUUUAAAUUUUACCUUUCAUUA